UCAACAUGGCUGGUUAAACACGUCCCCGUCAACUUCAACGAAGUGGUUGAGGAACGUUUCAAAGAUAUAUCAGUCGUACGUCCUCUGAGUGCUUCUGCUGUACACAUCACAAUGCUUUGAAGCACUCCAAAAAGAGAGGGGGAAAAGAGAAAAAAGAAGUUGCAUCUUCUGAUCUGUGCGGCACUAGUGGUCGCUACAUCCGCCGCACCUUACGAAGAGCCUCACGAACGUGAGUACGAUGGCUACGGCCUUCAGCGUGAAUCGUCCUACCAGUACAGAGGUGCCAUGAGGCCAACAGGGGGCCCGGAUGUCCCGUACAUGCCGUACGACAGACCGCCUUCUGGAGGGUUCGUGCAACCUCUUCCAAGCGAAGUUACCAGUCGACGUCCAGCGCCGCAACUUUCAUCAGGUCCGAUCUAUAUUAUUCACGCAUUGAACGCCAACGAAGGUGCCAGACAGAGACAGACAGCACCGGAAUGGCAGCCGCAGUACCAGCGUGUUGAAGCCAUUGGUGACGGUAUGAGACCAGCAGGGCAGGGGAGUAGCGUCCACUACAUCGUGGUCUUGGACAAAGGAAGUACUCCUUUUGCCCAACCUACCGUUAUGCGCAGUCACCAAAUCCCAGGUAUGGACCUGGGACGAUUUCUAAAGGACAAAGCCAAGUGAGAGCACAUCCCAAGGACUGUCGAGACCAGGAGAGUU